ensembl:lncRNA
AUUUCUUUCACUGUUGUCUUUGUGCGGUUACGGGAAACAGGAACAGCGAUCUUGUAAUAGGUGUUGCUGCAUCCAAUCUUAUCUUCUCCUUUCCUCGGUUUUUCCGGUUUUAAGCGGCAGAGAAUCGCAGAUAGACCUGAGCCUCCGGACGCAAAGAGGAGGAAAUUCAGUCCUGUUGACGGGGUCACGGGCACCAGUCUGGGAGCUAGGAUGCUGCAGGGGGGCUUGAAGAAGGGGCUUCUCAUGCGCAACAUGCAGACGGAGUGAGCCGUCGCCUCCGACGCCACUACCUCAGGAACUGGGACAAAGCCCUGUGCACAACCCUCCGAGUGGACCCGUUGUAUCACAGACGGACCACCAGGAGAUCACAAAAAGAAAAUGGAAUCCCAGAUGAAUUGUGGGUUUUGUAGGGAGUUUCUUCCACUCCAAAGGCUGUGGCACACCAAAGCUUAAGAGGAGGCUGAACUUUUUUGAGCCCUUUUCUCCACAAUGGAGGAUUAUUUAAUUCCGCGUAGACUAGCCGUCUAGGCCAUUUAAAUUGAUCAGUUUAUAAAAAAAAUAAAACGUGUCAAAAUGGAGGCCAAGCGUAGGCGUGAGCCGCAAUACUCUUCAGCACCACCUGCAGUGAGGGAGGGAUCAUUGGCUAACUUGGGAGUGGAUUAAAAGCAGGUGUUCUCACCUCAAAGCUUGCGCUCUGCCCUUGAGCUUUGGUGUGAAGCAGCCUUAAAACUGUUGUGAAAUGAUCAGUUGAUCUAGGCUGACGGGAGUAAUAGCACAGAAUGCACCUUUUUACUUCUUAAAUUAUGCUCUUUUAAUCUCUCAUAGGAUUAACUUUAGAUACUUACUGUAAAAUAUCAUACUUCUUAUUUCUAUGCACAAUAGAUUUGUUCCAAGUAGAUAAUUAUAUGCAUUUUAAUUUACAUGACAAAUGGGAAAUCAACACUUUUGCACCCCAGCACUCGUGACACAUUUGAAUAGGACAUGACCACACAAUAGUGUGGAUUUAGAGACGUGUAAAUAUAAUAUUGUAAUAUUUGUGAAUGCACAGUGUAUAUUUCUUUCUGAAAUAAGAUAUUUUUUAUUUGAGAUUUGUGGACACAAAUGUUGUCAAGAUCCUAUGUAAAGAAGAGUAAUAACAUUUUCCACUUUACAGCUUGAUUGCAGGAGGAAAGUAAAAAAAU